AUUAGGAGUGAUUAGGGCAGACCUCAUUUAUAAAAGGGGAGAUUUGACAAAGACUUAAAGGAGAGCAUUAGCCAGGAAUCUGAACUAGGGAAAAGUUCUUCCAGAGGAAGCUCCAAAGGACAAAGGUCUAAGAUAUGAGGGUACCUGCAUCUGUCUAGAAUGGAGUGAGCAGGCCACAAAGGGCCUUGUCAGCUACUCUGAAGACUGAGUUUUACAGGGGUCUGUUUUGGAGAUCUGAUACCCUCUUAGAGGUUUGCUCUUGAAGUCUACUUUACGAGAAGGCCAUUAGUCUCAAAACAAUUUUGAGAAUGUCUGGAAAGCAGGAAAGGAAUCCAACAAUCUUACCUCUUAGCAUUUAGAAGUUACCCCUUCUGGGUAAAAGCAAAAUCACAAAGAUGCAUGUCUUGCAAUAAAAUUCUGAAGCUCAUGA